rnacentral:rRNA from 1 species
CUACGGGUUGCUGCAGUGGGGAAUAUUGGACAAUGGGGGAAACCCUGAUCCAGCAAUGCCGCGUGUUUGAAGAAGGCCUGCGGGUUGUAAAGCACUUUCGGUUGGGAGGACUGCUUCUAGCACUAAUAUUGUUGGAAGUUGACGUUACCUUCAGAAGAAGCACCGGCUAACUCCGUGCCAGCAGGCCGCGGUAAUACGGAGGGUGCAAGCGUUAAUCGGAAUUACUGGGCGUAAAGCGCGCGUAGGCGGCUAGAUCAGUCGGGUGUGAAAGCCCCGGGCUUAACCUGGGAACUGCAUCCGAUACUGUCUAGCUUGAGUACAGGAGAGGAGAGUGGAAUUCCACAUGUAGCGGUGAAAUGCGUAGAUAUGUGGAGGAACACCAAUGGCGAAGGCAGCUCUCUGGCCUGAUACUGACGCUGAGGUGCGAAAGCGUGGGGAGCAAACAGGAUUAGAUACCCCUGUAGUC